GUGAAUCAUCAAAUUUUUUAACGCAAAUUGCACUCUCCUCGUAGAGUAUGGCGGUUUGAGGGUUAGCCUAUAAAAAAUCGACAUCGUUGCUGUUUCGCUGUGGCGUUCGUCGGAAAUUGGGUCAUCUUAAAUCCUUUUGAUUUAAGCGACUAAAAAUUUUCUUUUUGUUCCAUGAACGGUUCUAAGAUCUAUUUCUUUACACGUUUAAGUUAUCGAUUUUUACUAGACGUGACCAUAAUAUCGGAUCGAGUCCAUAUUAUUUCUUUAAUGGAAUU
rnacentral:misc_RNA from 1 species